rnacentral:rRNA from 2 species
GUGACUGCGUACCUUUUGUAUAAUGGGUCAGCGACUUAUAUUCUGUAGCAAGGUUAACCGUAUAGGGGAGCCGGAGGGAAACCGAGUCUUAAUUGGGCGUUAAGUUGCAGGGUAUAGACCCGAAACCCGGUGAUCUAGCCAUGGGCAGGUUGAAGGUUGGGUAACACUAACUGGAGGACCGAACCGACUAAUGUUGAAAAAUUAGCGGAUGACCUGUGGCUGGGGGUGAAAGGCCAAUCAAACCGGGAGAUAGCUGGUUCUCCCCGAAAGCUAUUUAGGUAGCGCCUCGUGAAUUCAUCUCCGGGGGUAGAGCACUGUUUCGGCUAGGGGGCCAUCCCGGCUUACCAACCCGAUGCAAACUGCGAAUACCGGAGAAUGUUAUCACGGGAGACACACGGCGGGUGCUAACGUCCGUCGUGAAGAGGGAAACAACCCAGACCGCCAGCUAAGGUCCCAAAGUCAUGGUUAAGUGGGAAACGAUGUGGGAAGGCCCAGACAGCCAGGAUGUUGGCUUAGAAGCAGCCAUCAUUUAAAGAAAGCGUAAUAGCUCACUGGUCGAGUCGGCCUGCGCGGAAGAUGUAACGGGGCUAAACCAUGCACCGAAGCUGCGGCAGCGAACGUAUCACCCAAGACAACUUUACGGAGUUGACGAUUGACGGAGCGAAGCGACGUCAAAGCGUUCAUUAAAGUCGAGUUGGCUUAGGGAUACGUUCGUUGGGUAGGGGAGCGUUCUGUAAGCCUGUGAAGGUGUGUCGUGAGGCAUGCUGGAGGUAUCAGAAGUGCGAAUGCUGACAUAAGUAACGAUAAAGCGGGUGAAAAGCCCGCUCGCCGGAAGACCAAGGGUUCCUGUCCAACGUUAAUCGGGGCAGGGUGAGUCGACCCCUAAGGCGAGGCCGAAAGGCGUAGUCGAUGGGAAACGGGUUAAUAUUCCCGUACUUGGUGUUACUGCGAAGGGGGGACGGAGAAGGCUAUGUUGGCCGGGCGACGGUUGUCCCGGUUUAAGCGUGUAGGUGUGUGUUCCAGGUAAAUCCGGUUCACUUUAACACUGAGGCGUGACGACGAGGCACUACGGUGCUGAAGCAACAAAUGCCCUGCUUCCAGGAAAAGCCUCUAAGCAUCAGGUAACACGAAAUCGUACCCCAAACCGACACAGGUGGUCAGGUAGAGAAUACCAAGGCGCUUGAGAGAACUCGGGUGAAGGAACUAGGCAAAAUGGUGCCGUAACUUCGGGAGAAGGCACGCUGACACGUAGGUGAAGUGAUUUACUCAUGGAGCUGAAGUCAGUCGAAGAUACCAGCUGGCUGCAACUGUUUAUUAAAAACACAGCACUGUGCAAACACGAAAGUGGACGUAUACGGUGUGACGCCUGCCCGGUGCCGGAAGGUUAAUUGAUGGGGUCAGCGUAAGCGAAGCUCCUGAUCGAAGCCCCGGUAAACGGCGGCCGUAACUAUAACGGUCCUAAGGUAGCGAAAUUCCUUGUCGGGUAAGUUCCGACCUGCACGAAUGGCGUAAUGAUGGCCAGGCUGUCUCCACCCGAGACUCAGUGAAAUUGAACUCGCUGUGAAGAUGCAGUGUACCCGCGGCAAGACGGAAAGACCCCGUGAACCUUUACUAUAGCUUGACACUGAACAUUGAGCCUUGAUGUGUAGGAUAGGUGGGAGGCUUUGAAGUGUGGACGCCAGUCUGCAUGGAGCCGACCUUGAAAUACCACCCUUUAAUGUUUGAUGUUCUAACGUGGACCCGUAAUCCGGGUUGCGGACAGUGUCUGGUGGGUAGUUUGACUGGGGCGGUCUCCUCCUAAAGAGUAACGGAGGAGCACGAAGGUUGGCUAAUCCUGGUCGGACAUCAGGAGGUUAGUGCAAUGGCAUAAGCCAGCUUGACUGCGAGCGUGACGGCGCGAGCAGGUGCGAAAGCAGGUCAUAGUGAUCCGGUGGUUCUGAAUGGAAGGGCCAUCGCUCAACGGAUAAAAGGUACUCCGGGGAUAACAGGCUGAUACCGCCCAAGAGUUCAUAUCGACGGCGGUGUUUGGCACCUCGAUGUCGGCUCAUCACAUCCUGGGGCUGAAGUAGGUCCCAAGGGUAUGGCUGUUCGCCAUUUAAAGUGGUACGCGAGCUGGGUUUAGAACGUCGUGAGACAGUUCGGUCCCUAUCUGCCGUGGGCGCUGGAGAACUGAGGGGGGCUGCUCCUAGUACGAGAGGACCGGAGUGGACGCAUCACUGGUGUUCGGGUUGUCAUGCCAAUGGCACUGCCCGGUAGCUAAAUGCGGAAGAGAUAAGUGCUGAAAGCAUCUAAGCACGAAACUUGCCCCGAGAUGAGUUCUCCCUGAGACUUAGAGUCUCCUGAAGGAACGUUGAAGACGACGACGUUGAUAGGCCGGGUGUGUAAGCGCAGCGAUGCGUUGAGCUAACCGGUACUAAUGAACCGUGAGGCUUAACCUUACAACGCCGAAG